AAAUCGAUUGGUCAUGGCGAUCAACUUGCCCUUUACUGCCAACAAUGUGAUGCAAUCAUAUGGUGAACUCGGGUCGAGGACCCCUUUCCGAGUUUCGGAGUUAGGAAGUCCAACUUGUCGCGGCACUUUCUUUGAUCUUUCCUGUUCGGAGGUCAGAAAUUCUGAGAUUUGAGCUUUCAGAGGCGGUGGGGGAACGCUUCCUCACUUCUGAGGAAACGCCUCAUAAAUAGAGUUCACAGUGGCCGCAGGUCGCUCCUCCGGCUGAGUUUCAUUCUUCACUGAUCUCACAGCUGCAGCAGCGUCUGCACAUUUCUCUACCUGCAUGAAAACAAAAGCAGAGACUUCAGGCACUGACCGAGACACACACACAACAGGCUUGUUAUUCUCAGCGGAAUAACAAAAUGGAGGACAUAAGAUGGCUAGCGUUACACGACUGCUCUGCGCCAUGCCAGUAAUCCGAAUUUCCUGCAUCGCUGGAUUAUAUCUUGUCUGCUUAAAAUUUCAAGCUUGUCUGUUACAACAAGGCCAGAAAGCCUGAACUUCGUUUCCCUCAGUAGCAGAGUAUGUAGCUCCUCUGCUAACCCACCUGUCCACUGUCCUGCUGUUUGUCCCGCUGUUUAUCCCCUUCAUCUGCAGGCUGGUCCACAGCGAACACCUGAAACUGGCUGAAAUCUGCAAAAUUGGGCUGUUCUGG